AGACAGGCCGUCGGAUUACUGUAAUAGUUUAAUUGAGGUUCAAAAAAGCAGCCCCCCCCAAAAGUGGUAGGCCUGCUCCCCAAAUCCAGCCCCCCCUUGGAAGAUGUACUGUAAAGCGAGACAAUUUUACUUGUUAACCCAACUUUAUUAUUCUGUCUAACACCGGACGAUCCAGUUAACCCAUUGAGUUGCAUUGCAUGUGCCCUGAUGCACCCUACUUUAUUAUUUUACUCUGUCUAAUGCCAGACGAUUUUACUCGUCAAGGGGUGAGCACACUUUAACAGGCAAAGUAUUAAUUGGGAAUACUUUCUCUUUUAAUGGGAAACUCUUUACCAAUAAAAGGAACAAUGCAAUUAUUCAUAGUAUUUAAUUUUUCAUAUAAAGCAAAGACUGUAAGAGGAAACAUGGAUCAUUGGCUACUUUUUUUAUUUAGUAUUAAUUUUCAUGACAACAUGUGGGGUCAACUAUAAAGGAAACCUACCUCCUCCGCAG
rnacentral:lncRNA from 1 species